rnacentral:lncRNA from 1 species
GAACAACAAGCAUUACACGUGCACCGAGAGUCAGAGCUGCAAAAUCGACAAGACGCAGCGUAAGCGCUGUCCCUUCUGCCGCUUCCAGAAGUGCCUGACGGUGGGCAUGCGCCUGGAAGCUGUGCGUGCUGAUCGAAUGCGGGGCGGCCGGAACAAGUUUGGGCCCAUGUACAAGAGAGACCGGGCCUUGAAGCAGCAGAAGAAAGCACAGAUUCGGGCCAAUGGCUUCAAACUGGAGACCGGACCACCGAUGGGGGUUCCCCCGCCACCCCCUCCCCCACCGGACUACAUGUUACCCCCUAGCCUGCAUGCACCGGAGCCCAAGGCCCUGGUCUCUGGCCCACCCAGUGGGCCGCUGGGU